AGUGAACGCUGGCGGUAGGCCUAACACAUGCAAGUCGAACGGCAGCACAGUAAGAGCUUGCUCUUACGGGUGGCGAGUGGCGGACGGGUGAGGAAUAAAUCGGAAUCUACUUUUUCGUGGGGGAUAACGUAGGGAAACUUACGCUAAUACCGCAUACGACCUACGGGUGAAAGCAGGGGAUCUUCGGACCUUGCGCGAUUGAAUGAGCCGAUGUCGGAUUAGCUAGUUGGCGGGGUAAAGGCCCACCAAGGCGACGAUCCGUAGCUGGUCUGAGAGGAUGAUCAGCCACACUGGAACUGAGACACGGUCCAGAGUCCUACGGGAGGCAGCAGUGGGGAAUAUUGGACAAUGGGCGCAAGCCUGAUCCAGCCAUACCGCGUGGGUGAAGAAGGCCUUCGGGUUGUAAAGCCCUUUUGUUGGGAAAGAAAAGCAGCAGGUUAAUACCCCGCUGUUCUGACGGUACCCAAAGAAUAAGCACCGGCUAACUUCGUG
rnacentral:rRNA from 1 species